CUGGGAGAUAGUGAGAGGCGAGCGAGAUUUGCUAGGGAAGACUGAGUUGAGUUAACCAGCAGGUAGCUCAACUUAAGACAGAGUAAAGAGAUUCGCCCUGGAUUUACAGGCAUGAAGCUGAGGAGAGGUAACUAACCACGUGGAAGAUAUAGAAUAGUUUGAAUGGGUUAAAUAAGUUAUGAGCUAGUUGGGGGAUGAGCCAGAGCUUAUGGCCGAGGAAUUUAUUAAUAAAUAGUCUUCAAGUUGUCAUUCUAGGAGAAAUGGCUUAUAGUCUUAGAGGACAAAUUCAUCAUAGUUCAUAGGGAAAUCCUGGCAGAGUGUCUUAAUCUGGGAAUAGGAGCUCACAGCUGUCCCUCCUCAGAUGUUGAUGGACUAGGGAAUAGACAGGAUUGGAGCAACUCUCAAGGUUGCCUACUAAUACUCUAUAUCCACCAGCCAGGUCCUGCGUCCUAAAAGCUCUAGAAGCUCCUCAAAUCCCACCCAUGGAGCAAGUAUUCCAACCCACAAGCCCGUGGUAGGCAUUUAACAUUUAAACCCCAAUGUGUCUCUAGGGUUGGAAUCUUUACAGCAAAUUCAAGUAUCUGCUCUUUAUGUAUGGGUGUGGCUCCUCCUAGUUCACCUUGUUCCAGCACACACCUGUGAUGUGUAAAUAACUUUCCUGGGAGAAUUGCAAACAUAGAGAGGAAGAAGUGUCCUAAGAAUGUUCGUACUUCAAGGUCGGUGUCAUGGUUUCAGUUCAUUUGAGCAGAACAGAAGUCAUAUGCCACGAGUCUGUUCAGAGUCAAUCGUCUUCCUGGUCAUGGACCACACGUGUUGUUUACCUGACAUCCUGACAAGAGACAGAAGUGAGCGUAAUGGAAAGACUCGUGUCCAUAUCGCUAUGCAGUGAGCUACAGAACAUCCAGGAACCCUAUCUCUGAUUGACUAGCAAUUUAGCAAAGGAAGCUGAAGGUUGGUUUGACUACAGUUUGCUGUAUUGUGUCCCUUCUACUCCUGUUGCUUCAUACUUUACUUGGGAGUUAUGAGUCGUCAUUCAACAGGAAAGAAGAGAGAAGGCGAAGCAAACGAGUGACUCUAAAAUUUGUACAAGAGAGGAAAAUCAGAGGCUUAUUAAAUUUGAAAGGGUACGCCUUUGAAUAAUUUAUUCAUAAAAUUUAAUUUGCGUGAGAUUUUUUUAUGGCAAGGCGGCACGCUGGCUGUAAAACCUGAAAUAAAAGCAGCAAACUGC
rnacentral:lncRNA from 1 species